AGGUGUACGCGCUGCAGCCGCUGGACCACGAGGAGCUGGAGCUGCUGCAGUUCCAGGUGAGCGCGCGCGACGCGGGCGUGCCGCCUCUGGGUAGCAACGUUACGCUGCAGGUGUUCGUGCUGGACGAGAAUGACAAUGCGCCGGCGCUGCUGGCACCUCAGAUGAGGGGCACUGAUGGCGCAGUGAGCGAACUGGUGCUGCGGUCGGUGGGCGCCGGCGUGGUGGUGGGGAAGGUGCGCGCAGUGGACGCCGACUCAGGCUACAACGCGUGGCUUUCAUACGAGGUGCAGCCAGAAACGGUCAGCGCGCGCAUCCCGUUCCGCGUGGGGUUGUACACUGGCGAGAUCAGCACGACACGAGCCCUAGAUGAGACGGACGCACCGCGCCACCGCCUACUGGUGCUGGUGAAAGACCACGGGGAGCCAGCGCUGACAGCCACGGCCACUGUGCUGGUGUCGCUGGUGGACAGCGGCCAGGCGCCAAAGGCAUCGUCGCGGGCGUCAGUGGGCGCCACGGGCCCCGAGGUGACGCUGGUGGAUGUCAACGUGUACCUGAUCAUCGCCAUCUGCGCCGUGUCCAGCCUGUUGGUCCUCACGCUGCUGCUGUACACUGCGCUGCGAUGCUCCGCGCUGCCCACCGAGGGAGAGUGCACGCUGGGCAAGCCUACGCUGGUGUGUUCCAGCGAGGUGGGGAGUUGGUCGUACUCGCAGCAGAGGAGGCAGAGGGUGUGCUCUGGGGAGGGUCCACCGAAGACCGACCUCAUGGCUUUCAGCCCGGGCCUUUCUCCUUGUGCUGGAUCUACAGAGCGAAUGGGAGAACCCUCUGCUUCUUCAGAUUUAUCUGGGAAGGUGGGUUGUUCUAGCAUUUUAUUUAUUUAUAUAAUUAUUUAUUUUUUCUUGAAAGAUAUUUUCAAUUACUCCCAGGGGCCAUUCAAAUAGUUUUAUUCAUUUUUCUAGAAAUCCAGCAGAUUUUUUUCUUAUAAAGUAAACCCCUUAAUAUUGGAGCCGACUUUGUCUUGACUUC